UAUAGUUAACAGCCAAUGGUGAUGUAUAUUCAACGCAUUCAUAUCGAGUAAAUUGAAUAGUAUUGACAUCAUCGUGCGUGCCCCGUGCUCUUGAAGUGAGAAAGUCGCAGACACACGUGCGUCAGUGCGUGAGGCACUAAGCCAGUAUACCGCCAGCACCGGUCGACAAGUCCACACGUGUCGAGACUUCCAAAGGUCGAAAGCUUUCUUUUUCAGGAAAAAACAAAAACGAGCUGGUUCCAAGAACUCCUGUGUUCAGAGUCGAGUGAAAUAGCGCGACGAAAAUUAAAGUGCAA